rnacentral:rRNA from 1 species
UUCCGGUUGAUCCUGCCGGAGGCCACUGCUAUCGGAGUCCGAUUUAGCCAUGCUAGUCCACCGAUUCGUUCGGGGCAGAUAGCUGAGUAACACGUGGCCAACCUGCCCUGCGGAGGGGAAUAACCUCGCUAACGUGAGGCUAAUACCCCAUAGCAGAGUUCACCUGGAACAAGAGAACUCUGUGAAAUGUUCCGACGCCGCAGGAUGGGGCCGCGGCUGAUUAGGUCGUUGGUGAGGUAACGGCUCACCAAGCCGAUAAUCAGUAGCAGCCGUGAGAGCGGGAGCUGCCAGUCGGCUUCUGAGACAAGAAGCCGGGCCCUACGGGGCGCAGCAGGCACGGAACCUUCACAAUGCACGCAAGUGCGAUGGGGGGACUCCGAGUGCGUUCUUCCCACAAGGAAGGACGCUUUUCUGCACUUUAAGACGGUGCAGGAACAAGGGGUGGGUAAGACUGCUGCCAGCCGCCGCGGU